GACGAACGCUGGCGGCGUGCUUAACACAUGCAAGUCGAGCGGUAAGGCCCUUUCGGGGGUACACGAGCGGCGAACGGGUGAGUAACACGUGGGUGACCUGCCCUCAGCUCUGGGAUAAGCCUGGGAAACCGGGUCUAAUACUGGAUAUGACUCCAUGACGCAUGUUGUGGGGUGGAAAGCCUUGUGCGGCCGAGGAUGGGCCCGCGGCCUAUCAGCUUGUUGGUGGGGUGAUGGCCUACCAAGGCGACGACGGGUAGCCGGCCUGAGAGGGCGACCGGCCACACUGGGACUGAGACACGGCCCAGACUCCUACGGGAGGCAGCAGUGGGGAAUCUUGCGCAAUGGGCGAAAGCCUGACGCAGCGACGCCGCGUGAGGGAUGAC
rnacentral:rRNA from 1 species